UACAGAGACUGCGAGCGUUAUUCGGAUUCACUGGGCGUAAAGGGUGCGCAGGCGGCCGAGUGUGUGAGGCGUGAAAGCCUGGGGCUUAACCCCAGAAUUGCACCUCAAACUACACGGCUAGAGCAUUGGAGAGGGUAGCAGAAUUCACGGUGUAGCAGUGAAAUGCGUAGAUAUCGUGAGGAAUACCAGAGGCGAAGGCGGCUACCUGGACAAUUGCUGACGCUCAGGCACGAAGCGUGGGGAGCAAACAGG
rnacentral:rRNA from 1 species